rnacentral:rRNA from 1 species
GCGUGCCUAUCGAAAAAUGAGUCUGCGAGUCAGUGGCAUGUGGCGAGCAUAACCCGUGUGGGGUAUGCGUAGCGAAGGCGAGUCUUAAAAGGCGUUUGAGUCGCGUGUCCUGGACCCGAAGCGGGAUGAUCUAGCCCUGAGCAGGUUGAAGCGCGGGUAAGACCGCGUGGAGGACCGAACCCACCUGGGUUGAAAACCGGGGGGAUGACUUGGGGCUAGGGGUGAAAGGCCAAUCAAAUUCCGUGAUAGCUGGUUCUCUCCGAAAUGCAUUUGGGUGCAGCGUCGGGUCAUUACGUCCCGGGGGUAGAGCUACUGGAUGCUUGCGGGCCCGUAUCGGGUACCAACAGCAACCAAACUCCGAAUACCGGUGACGCGUAUCCCGGCAGUGAGUCGGCGGGGGAUAAGCUUCGUCGUCGAAAGGGAAACAGCCCAGACCGUCGUCUAAGGUCCCGAAGCGUGUGCUAAGUGGGAAAGGAUGUGGAGUCGCAUAGACAGCCAGGAGGUUGGCUCAGAAGCAGCCACCCUUGAAAGAGUGCGUAACAGCUCACUGGUCUAGUGGUUCCGCGCCGACAAUGUAGCGGGGCUCAAGCACACCACCGAAGACGCGGCAGUAUUUUGUACUGGGUAGGAGAGCGUCCCAUGAGGGGCGAAGCGGCCGUGUGAACGCGCCGUGGACUUCAUGGGAGUGAGAAUGCAGACAUGAGUAGCGAGAGACGGGUGAAGAUCCCGUCCGCUGGAUGACCAAGGGUUCCAGGGCCACGUUCAUCGUCCCUGGGUGAGUCGGGUCCUAAGGCGAGGCCGACAGGCGUAGUCGAAUGGAUGAACGGGUCGAUAUUCCCGUACCGGCUUUCAGCCGCCAAAACCGAGGCUUGGAGUACUAACCUCCGGGUCCGGGCUUACUGCUCCUUCGGGGGCGGGAUGCCCUGGCCUGUUGGGACCGAUCCUUGUAGUAGGUCAGCGCAGGAGUGACGCAGAAGGGUAGCCGGCCGCGGAGGUGGUCUUCCGUGGUCAAGCACGCAGGGCGUGGGACAGGCAAAUCCGUCCCGCAUGGGUCCGAGGUGCGAUGAUGGGGGCCUUAUGGCCCGAUAUCCGGUGAUCCCGGCUGCCGAGAAAAGCUUCGGCGUCAGGCUCGAAGCCGCCCGUACCCCAAACCGACACUGGUGGUCAGGUAGAGAAUACCAAAGCGAUCGAGCGAAUCCUGGUCAAGGAACUCGGCAAAUCACUCCCGUUCCUUCGGUUUAAGGGAGACCCCCGAUGGUGAACACACUUGCUGUGGGAGCUUUUGGGGGUGGCACAGACCAGGGGGUAGCGACUGUUUACCAAAAACACAGGUGCAUGCGAAGGCGCAAGCCGCUGUAUAUGCACUGACGCCUGCCCGGUGCCGGAAGGUUAAGAGGAGAUGUCAGGAGCAAUCCGAAGCAGUGAAUUGAAGCCCCGGUAAACGGCGGCCGUAACUAUAACGGUCCUAAGGUAGCGAAAUUCCUUGUCGGGUAAGUUCCGACCUGCACGAAUGGCGUAACGACUUCCCCACUGUCUCGACCAGGAGCUCGGCGAAAUUGCAGUACGAGUAAAGAUGCUCGUUAAGCGCAGAAGGACGAAAAGACCCCGGGACCUUUACUAUACCUUGGUAUUGGCAUUCGGUGUGGAUUGUGUAGCAUAGGCGGGAGGCCGAGAGGCGCGGUCGCCAGAUCGCGCGGAGCCGUAAGGUGAAAUACCGCUCUGUUCGCAUUGGAUGUCUAACCUCGAACAGUCAUCCUGUUCAGGGACAGUGCCUGGCGGGUAGUUUAACUGGGGCGGUUGCCUCCCAAAGAGUAACGGAGGCGCCCAAAGGUCCGCUCAGCCCGGUUGGCAAUCGGGUGGCGAGUGCAAGUGCACAAGCGGGCUUGACUGCGAGGACGACGGUCCGAGCAGGGACGAAAGUCGGGACUAGUGAUCCGGUGCCGGUGUACGGACGCGGCAUCGCUCAACGGAUAAAAGGUACUCCGGGGAUAACAGGCUGAUCAUUCCCAAGAGUCCAUAUCGACGGGAUGGUUUGGCACCUCGAUGUCGGCUCGUCGCAUCCUGGGGCUGGAGCAGGUCCCAAGGGUUCGGCUGUUCGCCGAUUAAAGCGGCACGCGAGCUGGGUUCAGAACGUCGUGAGACAGUUUGGUCUCUAUCCUCUGCGCUCGUUGGAAUGCUGAGGAGGCCUGCCCAUAGUACGAGAGGACCUGGGUGGACGAACCUCUGGUAUGCCGGUUGUCACGCCAGUGGCACGGCCGGUUGGCUACGUUCGGAAGGGAUAACCGCUGAAAGCAUCUAAGCGGGAAGCCUGCUCCAAGAUAAGCAUUCCGUGGAACCUUCGAGUUCCUGUAGUCCCCAUGCAGAACACGUGGUUGAUAGGCCGGACGUGGAAGCCCCGCGAGGGGUGGAGCCGACCGGUACUAACGGACGAAAGGCAACACUA